CUGUGUUAACAAGUUAACAGACAAAGAUCAUGGGCGGCCUCGCCAUUACAGCCGAACGCUCACUGUUUACAUUCAUUGCUCAUUUAAACAACACUUAGUCAACUAAUGUGGUCAACCAAUGCACCGUUUGAAAGAUAAAAGAACACAAAUUCAUUUGCGUGUAUGCAUUCAACAAUAUAAAUAACUUAGUAGGAGUUUUUGGUUAUUCUGUAUGAAGAGUAAAACAAUGCAAAGCUAUAACAAAGCGGACGAAUCCUUACCUUUUUGUGUUCUAGCAACGAGAUGUCUGGUCAAAUAAUGGUAACAUGUAUUGCUCUUCGAAGAAAAGUAGUCCAGUAUCCAAUAUCCAUAGUAAAUAUUUGCACAAAACACACUGACCGGUAAAAAAAAAGGUUUAUAUGUCCAUUGUUUACACCCUCGUAUCUGGUAAACAUGUCGUCAUACUCCCGUUCACUCGACGAUUAUGUCUUUCAAAACACAUUUUUCGAUAAAUCCAAACGCGUCAAUGCAUCUAGUAGAGUGUUCUAAACAAAAUGAGAGUAGUUCAAGUCAUUUCUGAUAAAAACUACCCCGGCAAACUUUUAAAAUAGUGAAAGGGGGCGUGUUCUGCAGGUAGCGUUUGCUUGUGCGUAUGCAAAAGUUUUUUAUAAAAAAAAUGGACAAAUGACCAAUUGAAAUCAUGUAGCGUCUAGUGACGUGUAGCUAAUGAUAUGACGGAUACACCCAUGUGCGGAUUUGCAUAAUGCUUGUAUAUUAUAGUUUUGUUAUCUGUGCGUAUACAUUAGCACUUAGAAGAGUUACGCACUCGUGCUCGUGCACAUACAGGGCUUUGAGACGUCACCUGCUUGUUAGCACUUCUUACAAUGGACUAGCAUCGAGGACAGAAGUUUUUUCUCUUUCUGCUGCCUUGGAAGAACUUAUGCGAAGCAGUGAUGAAGAAAAUGUCGAGGAUACCGAAGAAGAAAGUGUUUGCAGUGUCGAUUUGGAACAAGAGGAAAUGUUUUUAGACGGUCUUGAUCCUUUUUUAGAUCGGGAUGCUGACACUUCUGAUGAAGAGUGGUUACCAGAGGCCUCUGGACCACAGACAAAUCAUUCCUGCCUUUCUAAACAUCUUCACCUGCGUUCACCUGUGCCAAGGGAAGAGGAAAGAAAAGGACACAGAUAGAAUCUCCAUCUGACUCACGCAGUACUGUAUGGUUGGUGAAAAUACAAUGCUGUUUUGUGCAUGUUUAUUUAGAAAAGAAAACUGUACUUUGAGGCAGACUGUUGACAGAUUAUUGUAAGAUAGUAUUGUGAAUGUGUGCAAAUGGCAUCACUAGAACAGGUCUGAUGGUACAUUACUCUGCUAUUCAUAAUCCUAAAGUGUGAACUUUGUGUAUGAAUAGAGCAGGCAUGAUGGUACAUUACUCUGAUAGCCAUAAUCCUAAAGUGUGAAUUUUGUGUAUGAAUAGAGCAGGCAUGAUGGUACAUUACUCUGAUAGCCAUAAUCCUAAAGUGUGAAUUUUGUGUAUGAAUAGAGCAGGCAUGAUGGUACAUUACUCUGAUAGCCAUAAUCCUAAAGUGUGAAUUUUGUGUAUGAAUACAGCAGGCAUAAUGGGACAUUACUUUGCUAUUCAUAAUCCUAAAGUGUGAAUUUUGUGUAUGAAUACAGCAGGCAUAAUGGGACAUUACUUUGCUAUUCAUAAUCCUAAAGUGUGAAUUUUGUGUAUGAAUAGAGCAGGCAUGAUGGUACAUUACUCUGAUAGCCAUAAUCCUAAAGUGUGAAUUUUAUGUAUGAGUACAGCAGGGAUGAUGGGACAUUACACUGCUAUUCAUAAUCCUGAAGUGUGAAUUUUGUGUAUGAAAAGAGCAGGCAUAAUGGGGUCAUUACUUUGCUAUUCAUAAUCCUAAAGUGUGAAUUUUGUGUAUGAAUAGAGCAGGCAUGAUGGUACAUUACACUAAUAGUCAUAAUCCUAAAGUGUAAAUGCAAUACUUUGUAAAUAGUUUGUAUUUUGGACUCGUGUCACAGCACUGCCAAGCUAUGUGCAAUACUUUAUCACAGUUUGUUGAUAACUACUAUAUUGUAAACAUAUAAAAACCUAUACAUAAAUUUGUUCUUUAAUGUUGUACAUUUUCCUAAACCAUGCAAAAUUAUGUAAGUAAAUAAAGACAUUGUUUCAUUUUA